GGAGUAGGACGGACGGCCGCUGCCCCGCCCUUCGUGGCGGGGGGGAGGAAAGUCCGGGCUCCACAGGACAGGGUGCUGGGUAACGCCCAGUCCCGGCGACGGGAAGGAAAGUGCCACAGAAAGCAAACCGCCCCGGAGUACCGGCCUCGCGCCGUGCACUCCGGGGUAAGGGUGAAACGGUGAGGUAAGAGCUCACCAGUCCCGCCGGUGACGGCGGGAGCUAGGCAAACCCCACCCGGAGCAAGACCAAAUAGGGGAACGUCUGAGGGUGGUCCGCCCGAGUUCCCGGGUAGGUCGCUUGACCCCGUCGGUAACGGCGGGGCUAGAUGAAUGGUCGUCGUCCCUGAAACGGGUGACCGCUUCGGGGAAACAGAACCCGGCUUACGGACUGCUCCGACA
rnacentral:RNase_P_RNA from 1 species